GUGGGGAAUAUUGCACAAUGGGGGGAACCCUGAUGCAGCCAUGCCGCGUGAAUGAAGAAGGCCUUCGGGUUGUAAAGUUCUUUCGGUGACGAGGAAGGUUGGUAGGUUAAUAGCCUAUCAAAUUGACGUUAAUCACAGAAGAAGCACCGGCUAACUCCGUGCCAGCAGCCGCGGUAAUACGGGGGGUGCGAGCGUUAAUCGGAAUAACUGGGCGUAAAGGGCACGCAGGCGGUGACUUAAGUGAGAUGUGAAAGCCCCGAGCUUAACUUGGGAAUUGCAUUUCAUACUGGGUCGCUAGAGUACUUUAGGGAGGGGUAGAAUUCCACGUGUAGCGGUGAAAUGCGUAGAGAUGUGGAGGAAUACCGAAGGCGAAGGCAGCCCCUUGGGAAUGUACUGACGCUCAUGUGCGAAAGCGUGGGGAGCAAACAGGAUUAGAUACCCUGGUAGUCCACGCUGUAAACGAUGUCGAUUUGGGGAUUGGGCUUUGAGCUUGGUGCCCGUAGCUAACGUGAUAAAUCGACCGCCUGGGGAGUACGGCCGCAAGGUUA
rnacentral:rRNA from 1 species